CCAGUCGGCCGGGCAGCCGCACUUUGCAACGUCGAAAGACAGCAGGGUGAGGAAAGUCCGGGCUCCACGGAUAAGCGGUGCCGGAUAACGUCCGGCGGGGGCGACCCCAGGGAAAGUGCCACAGAAAGCAAACCGCCCCGCCACCUGAUCGCCGGAUCCGAUUCCAGGAUCGAGCGGCAAUGAGGCGGCGGGGUAAGGGUGAAAGGGUGGGGUAAGAGCCCACCGCGCGACCGGCAACGGAAGCGGCACGGUAAACCCCACCGGGAGCAAAACCGAAUAGGGAUGACGCAGGGCGAAAGCCCGGCCCUUUUUCCGGGGUUGAUCAUCCGGGUAGGUUGCUUGAGGUGCGCAGCAAUGCGUGUCCCAGAGGAAUGGCUGCCACGUUUUGGCCCGCAAGGGUCAAGGCCAUACAGAACCCGGCUUACAGGCCGGCUGGCAAU
rfam:Hoeflea phototrophica DFL-43 chromosome, whole genome shotgun sequence.